rnacentral:rRNA from 1 species
GAUGAACGCUGGCGGCGUGCCUAAUACAUGCAAGUCGAGCGAAUGGAUUAAGAGCUUGCUCUUAUGAAGUUAGCGGCGGACGGGUGAGUAACACGUGGGUAACCUGCCCAUAAGACUGGGAUAACUCCGGGAAACCGGGGCUAAUACCGGACAACAUUUUGAACCGCAUGGAUCGAAAUUGAAAGGCGGCUUCGGCUGUCACUUAUGGAUGGACCCGCGUCGCAUUAGCUAGUUGGUGAGGUAACGGCUAACCAAGGCAACGAUGCGUAGCCGACCUGAGAGGGUGAUCGGCCACACUGGGACUGAGACACGGCCCAGACUCCUACGGGAGGCAGCAGUAGGGAAUCUUCCGCAAUGGACGAAAGUCUGACGGAGCAACGCCGCGUGAGUGAUGAAGGCUUUCGGGUCGUAAAACUCUGUUGUUAGGGAAGAACAAGUGCUAGUUGAAUAAGCUGGCACCUUGACGGUACCUAACCAGAAAGCCACGGCUAACUACGUGCCAGCCGCCGCAGUAA